rnacentral:rRNA from 1 species
AGGAGGGGGGGGGCUAAUACAUGCAAGUCGAGCGGACGGAUGGGAGCUUGCUCCCUGAAGUCAGCGGCGGACGGGUGAGUAACACGUGGGCAACCUGCCUGUAAGACUGGGAUAACUCCGGGAAACCGGGGCUAAUACCGGAUAACUCUUUUCCUCACAUGAGGAAAAGCUGAAAGAUGGUUUCGGCUAUCACUUACAGAUGGGCCCGCGGCGCAUUAGCUAGUUGGUGAGGUAACGGCUCACCAAGGCCACGAUGCGUAGCCGACCUGAGAGGGUGAUCGGCCACACUGGGACUGAGACACGGCCCAGACUCCUACGGGAGGCAGCAGUAGGGAAUCUUCCGCAAUGGACGAAAGUCUGACGGAGCAACGCCGCGUGAGUGAUGAAGGUUUUCGGAUCGUAAAACUCUGUUGUCAGGGAAGAACAAGUACCGGAGUAACUGCCGGUACCUUGACGGUACCUGACCAGAAAGCCACGGCUAACUACGUGCCAGCAGCCGCGGUAAUACGUAGGUGGCAAGCGUUGUCCGGAAUUAUUGGGCGUAAAGCGCGCGCAGGUGGUUCCCUAAAUCUGAGGUGAAAGGUCCCCGGCCUCAACCGGGGAGGGUCUUUGGAAAACUGUGUUGACUUGAUUGGCGAAUA